GCAAAGAGGGCGAGUUAGAGGAGGGUUUGAAUCUCAUGGUAUUUGUGAUUUUCUUUUUCUUUUCUUUCUUUUUUCCUUCUACAUAUUUGUGCUACUAGGAGCAGGGAUGGAGGGAGGAG
rnacentral:ribozyme from 1 species